CCUACGGGGGGCAGCAGUGGGGAAUAUUGGACAAUGGGCGAAAGCCUGAUCCAGCCAUGCCGCGUGUGUGAAGAAGGCCUUCGGGUUGUAAAGCACUUUCAGUGGGGAAGAAAGCCUUGGGGCUAAUACCCUCGAGGAAGGACAUCACCCACAGAAGAAGCACCGGCUAACUCCGUGCCAGCAGCCGCGGUAAUACGGAGGGUGCGAGCGUUAAUCGGAAUUACUGGGCGUAAAGCGCGCGUAGGCGGUCUGAUAAGCCGGUUGUGAAAGCCCCGGGCUCAACCUGGGAACGGCAUCCGGAACUGUCAGGCUAGAGUGCAGGAGAGGAAGGUAGAAUUCACGGUGUAGCGGUGAAAUGCGUAGAGAUCGGGAGGAAUACCAGUGGCGAAGGCGGCCUUCUGGACUGACACUGACGCUGAGGUGCGAAAGCGUGGGUAGCAAACAGGAUUAGAUACCCUGGUAGUC
rnacentral:rRNA from 1 species